rnacentral:rRNA from 1 species
GAUGAAUGCUGGCGGCGCGCCUAACACAUGCAAGUCGAGCGGAAAGGCCCUUCGGGGUACUCGAGCGGCGGACGGCUGAGUAACGCGUGGGAACAUGCCCCAAAGUGAGGAAUAACUGCCCGAAAGGGUAGCUAAUACCGCAUAUGAUCUUCGGAUUAAAGGAUUUAUCCGCUUUGGGAGUGGCCCGCGUACGAUUAGGUAGUUGGUGAGGUAAAGGCUCACCAAGCCUACGAUCGUUAACUGGUCUGAGAGGAUGAUCAGUCAGACUGGAACUGAGACACGGUCCAGACUCCUACGGGAGGCAGCAGUGAGGAAUCUUCCACAAUGGGCGAAAGCCUGAUGGAGCGACGCCGCGUGCAGGAUGAGGGCCUUCGGGUUGUAAACUGCUUUUAUAAGUGAAGAAUAUGACGGUAACUUAUGAAUAAGCACCGGCUAACUACGUGCCAGCCGCCGCCGUUAAU